rnacentral:rRNA from 1 species
UACGAAGGGGGCUAGCGUUGCUCGGAAUCACUGGGCGUAAAGGGUGCGUAGGCGGGUCUUUAAGUCCGGGGUGAAAUCCUGGAGCUCAACUCCAGAACUGCCUUUGAUACUGGAGAGCUUGAGUCCGGAAGAGGUGAGUGGAACUCCGAGUGUAGAGGUGAAAUUCGUAGAUAUUCGGAAGAACACCAGUGGCGAAGGCGGCUCACUGGUCCGGUACUGACGCUGAGGUGCGAAAGCGUGGGGAGCAAACAGG